AUGGUGCAGUCUCGACCUCCAGCAGUGCUUGUCUCACCUACCAGCGGUCUCCAGCAGCUUCUCCUUGAGAUGGAAAGAUGCACCCGUGCAGAGCAUGCAGAACAAAUAUGCUGCUCCACCCACAAGAUGUAUACACUUCAUCCCAGGGACAUCAUUUUGACAGUGUCACCUCUGGUACCUCCUCAUGCGUAUGGUAACGUGAUUUCAAUCUGCACUCGUCGAGGGUUUGCUCUGCAAGGAAUCAGACAGCUGCAGCUUUCACACAAGCAAGCCACUGCGCUGAGCAUGACAACAAGUCAGAUCGCUGUAUUUUGCCCUAGCAAGAUUUCUAGUUUUCCUGAGAACAGUUCUGCAAGAGGAGAGCUUUCUGCUGAACCACACGUGCACUGUCUUGUCUUGUUGCUGAGAAAGGAGGAUGCUAGUCAUCAUAUUCUUGCAUUGGUAAAAGGACUGAUGAAUGAACUGGCAAAGCAAGGCCUCCUUGGCAACAGGCAGAGCAGCUUGCCUGCCACAGCCAGGCUGGACUCCUCCAUGUGCUUCCAUGUGGCUCCUUACAGUGAGAACUUGCUGCAGAUGCUGGGAGGAAACUUCAGUGCAGUUCCAGACCCGUGUAACAUUCCUCUGGAUUUCUUCUGCAACCGAAUAUUUGCUUCCGAUCCCGAAAUGGAGCAAGUAGUCCUGCUGACACUGGUUGGGAUGGAUGCUAUCAACAGUGCUGGAGAACUCCUUUGCCAGAUCCUUCUUCCUGGGAGCAAUAAUCAGUAUCAGAAUGCAGAAGGACCUGAUUCAGGGUUUGAGCUUCUGGGUCUCAAGUGGUUGCCCCGUCUCACUCGACAUCAGGCAAAAGAAAUAACCCCUUUUGAGGUUGGAGAUGCUUCUUGGAGGAGAAGCCUUGAUACACUGAUGUCUAAUCCAGUCCUUGUGUGUGCCUUACGGCGGAUCAAUGCCUUCCAAGUCCUUGAAGAUGCAUUAAAGAGAUUAACACAGUGCAGGGAGGAGCUAAGCGAAAGUGACAGUGCUCUGCAGAGAGUAAUGGCCUUGACCCCAGAGGUAACCUUCAGACAAGCCAUCCUUUUCUUCACAGAGAAGGAUCUUGUAGCUGAUCCAGAACACCGCCCUACUGCCAAAUACCUGCCACCACCUGGCAAGACAUCCAGGGCUGGAGGAGCCCAGAUCCUCUGCACGGUGCUGCUGAUCAAACCUGGUGCCUGGAGCCAUCAACUUGCAAGGAUCCUCCGAAAGCUCGACCUAGAAAAAUUCACUGUGGUUGGGAUGAAACACAUACACCUGGAGCCAGGCAUCGCCUUAGGACUCCUUUCUUCUGAAGCAAAGCGGGAUCCUGCUGUUCUAGAAGCUCACUGUACCUACCUUACCUCAGGCACUUCUCUUGUGCUGUGUCUUCAGAGACCAAAUGCUGUGAAGAAGUUGAUCGACGUUCUGGGGCCAGAGGACCCUAAAGUGGCCCAAGCACUAAAUCCAUGCUUCUGGAGGGCUCAGUAUGGCAUCAGCACUGUCCAAAAUGGAUUUUAUGGCUCCAAAUCCUACCAAAUAUCUGUGCGGGAUGUGAAGCUGUUUUUCCCAGAAGGUCUGUGCUGCGCCGAGAGUCGGACAUUGCAGGAGGAAGAGAUCUAUAGCCUGAAAUGUGACCCCGUAGUCAGUGUGGAAAUCAACAAGCAGCGCAAAAUCAUAAAACAUGGAACAGGAGGGAAGCUCAAUUUACUGGGCUCUGGGCAACCACGCGAUCUUGAUCGGCCAGUGCUCAGUAACCUCUGCCAAACCACUUGCCUCAUCCUGCCGGCGAUAAUCCUCUGGGGUUCAGACCCACCUUAUGUUGAACUGCUCGAUCAGCUUAUUGGUGAAGGUUUCAUGGUGACUGGAGUACGCCUCACUGUGCUGGAUGCACCACAGGCUCAUUGCAUCUCAAAGAUACUGAGCAGAGCCAAGCGUGGUGUGGCAGCAAAGUGCUCCCUCUUAAUGGAUGGUUUGUGCCUGCUGGUAGCAGCAGAGCGAGACAACGCGGUCAUCGGCUUCGAUUCCCUGCUGGACAGCGUGCGUUGGCAGAAGCAGUCGGUGCUGGACAUGGCGCAGCAUCUCCUCUAUCCUCAAAAUGAGAAACAGGCUGAAGAGCUGCUCUGUUGUCUUUUUGACUCCCUGACAUCUGACAGCACCUGCCGCAUUGAAUCCCAGAGCUGCUAG
ensembl:lncRNA